UAGGGUUGGAACUGGGCUAGGCUGGGCCAGACCAUACCUCUAUCCGAGCCGGACUCGAGAAAAUCUUUCGGGCUUUGAGCCGGGCUUAGGCCUUGUUAUUUUGGAAACAAAUGGGCCCGAGCCCGGCCCGAGCCCAAGCUCAAGUCAAGCCCGAACCCGAUUGGGCCAACCCGAGCCUAGGCCCGGGUGUGCUCGCAGCCACGAUCACUACAAUCAGGGUGGGGGGCUCGUUCUUUGGCAGCACGGAGAGAACAGAGAGCGGAGAUGACCUCGGUGGCAAUCUGGAGGUAGCGGAGAGCAAAGGAGGUGGGCUUCAUCGUCGAUGACGAUGUAGAGAGUGGAGAUGGCAUCGAUGGCAGUCUGGAGGCAAUGGAGGAAAGGGGAGACGAUGACAUGGUGGAUGGGGAAGCCGAGGGUCCUUAGUCUCUUCCCACUUUCUGCGGUGGAUGGGGAGAUGAUGACACGGUGUAUACCUUCUCCUCACGGCUACUGGCCACCAGCCAUCGACCGCCGCAUGAUCUCUGCCUCCUCGAAGUGAAUGAAAGCGGAAUUCUUGCUCACCGACUUCUUCAUCUGCCCCCUUCCCCCUGGCUUCUUCUCCUCCUCCCCCAGCUUCUCUUGCGAGUCUGACUAGCACCGAUUGAAGUGGUGCUGCUAUUGCUCCCUGCCUGUGGA
rnacentral:lncRNA from 1 species